CUUCAGAAGCUGCACACUCCGGAUCGCUUUUACAGGCUGCAGCUCUCGCCGGGCAAAUAUUCUGCUCCAAUAGCGUCGGACAUCGUCCCGUCACGUGGAGCGCUGAGUGCUCUGCGAAAACGACGUAUCAUGAAUGUUUUUUGGAUUCUUUGGACGAUCGACAAACCUGAAAUAUUCUACUCACCGGCUGUAACGGAAUGCGAUGAAAACAAGGCGAAGAUCUGGAAGGUUAAUAUCAACACCCACACAACGGCGCAGGCAUUUCCCCCGCUGCAAAAGUCACGGCGCAUCCUCAACACAUCAAGGGGAUUUUUAAUACCUCACUAUUCUGAAAGAAGAGGAAACACGUUUCAUCGUUAGCCUCUCCCUCCUUCUCUCUCACUUUGUCGUCGUGGGGAAAAUACGAGAACGGUGAACCGCUGCUCCUGGAGGAAUUGGCCCCGUGGAUGCGUGAAUGACCAUCGGGUCCAGGAUCUAUAGAUCUAUUCACCAUUCGUCGGAAGUUUCUUCUCCGAAACUCGAGUCUAUCGGGGUGAAGGUUACGGCCAUGAAUCGUCUCGACGAUGGAAUUAACCUGGAUUAGACUCGGCCAAAAAUGAUCGACGAGGCAAAACUGAUCUAAUUUCAAAAAUGUCGGAUAAAUCACUGCUGCAGCAGGCGAGGCGAAGAGAAUCCGUUGGCUGCGUUGGACGAAGAACGGGUUCCAGUCUUGGCGGUUGAACCCGCUCUCAUGCAGGCGGCGGCAUUCCGAAACGCCUGAAGGCGUUUCUUCGUCGAGGCCCAGUGACCGACAUUCGGUCGUUCGUGACGCGACGCCUCCUCUCCACCUCUCUUUCUCUCUCUCUCUCUCUCUGAGGCAGGUUCUUCACCUGCAUCUCGUCGCCGUCCCACGUCGGAAUCAUCGUACCUCUUAUGUUUGUUUUGUUUUUGGGUACUUUUUUUCAACAUUUUUCUUCCCCAAUUUAUAUUCUAAUUUUAAAAUUCCUCGCCCCGAAGAACUUUUUAUACAUUACAUUCCGACCUAUCUGUUUUAUUCAUGUCUCUCUUCGGGUAUCAAAGAGAAAGAGAGUAAGUGUGUGUGUGUGUGUGUGUGUGUGUGUGUGUGUGUGUGUGUAAGAGAGAGAGAGAGCAUCGCUGAUAAGAACCUGUAUCGAGGGAUUUUCAAACGACGGGGAAAAGGAGGGGAGGUUCCAGCCGAACGGUGGGAGCGAGAAGACGCCGUGAAAUCCGUGAUCGAAGGUCUAGGUCGCGGAGCUUCCUUGUACCGGUGAUUUCAACGCGCCUUGACACACUGCACUCGGUUCCGGUACACCUAAUUAUGAGUCAUUUUUCGGCUGUUCACCCACUAAAAAUUCCGCUUCUUGUUACGUGCUAAUUUCGUCGAUAUCUCUUUUUCUCUCUCUACCGUUUUGUGUCGAUCUUUUACCAAAUUACCAAUGAUUAAUAUUGAAAUAAAUAAUCGAAGCUUGAGAUAGUAUAUAUGUAUCGUGCGUUUGUCCCUGAGUAUGUUUCGAAUUGUCUGUCUAAACGCAUUGCAAUGUUCACACACCUUCCUCAAUUAGACGUAGAAUUCAAAAGUUUAAAAAGUCCAUAAGCAGUGCGAAUUUUUUUCACGCAUGCCAGUUUUCUGAUACAAAAAUCAAUCCUUACCUCACGCGUGAUCAAUAAUUGGAUCGCACGAAUUGGGAUUGAUUAUAAUUUUGUAAUUUUUCUUUGUUGGUAAAAUUGUGUGAAAUAUCUAUAAGAAAACAGCAGACCUCACGUUGAAAAAAAAAAACCACUAAUAAUCAUACAAUAUCAAUAUUAUAUAGUUCUUCUCAAAUCCACCCAAUUGUAACAAACGUUUGUUUGCAAUUGCGUGACAAUCUUUCCGUGCGACGACGCGUAUCCCGAAUUCCCAUGCAUGGCUACGGAUUCUACCGGAUGUAGGUUAGUGUCGAAGCGUCUCUGAGUGCUCUCCGCGAGCGUAUAUCCGGGGUAUUUUAUCAAUUAAUAAAUCUAGCUCAACGAAACCCGAUGUAUAUAUAUAUAUAUAUAUAUCGCGGGAAAGGCGGGUAGCGAUGAUGAUGCUCGUGUCUCUGUAUGUGUGUAUUUAUUUACGUAUGUAUGUAUGUGUGUUAUUGCACGUACGUACGUAUAGCGUUAAAUUCGUUACCUGUGAAACCCGGACGUUUGCAAAUGCGGUAUGUAUUAUGUAGGUAGGAUAACGGUGACCUACCGCCGCAGCUCUUUUCACAAAGUGUAUUUUACGCCGCUGCCAUUGCGGCCUCCACACUCGCACACAUUCGCAGGAAAUAUAUAUAUCUCGUACUCGAGUUUGCGGAUUCGUGCAUACAUACCCAUUUCCUAUCUCUGCGCAGUCCGUUUAUAGGUAGGCACAUACCUCUGAAAACGAUUUCACGGAGACGCGUCAUGUUGCGGUAUUGUUCGAAAUUUAAAGGCAACUAGUAGAAAUCGAAAAAACUUCUUUGUUACUGUAGACUCUAGCCGUAAUAAAAAUUCUCAUCGAUUUUCAGAAAA